rnacentral:rRNA from 1 species
CCUACGGGUGGCAGCAGUGAGGAAUAUUGGUCAAUGGGCGCGAGCCUGAACCAGCCAAGUAGCGUGCAGGAUGACUGCCCUACGGGUUGUAAACUUCUUUUAUAAAGGAAUAAAGCGAGGCACGUGUGCCUUUCUGCAUGUACUUUAUGAAUAAGGAUCGGCUAACUCCGUGCCAGCAGCCGCGGUAAUACGGAGGACCCGAGCGUUAUCCGGAUUUAUUGGGGUUAAAGGGAGCGUAGAGGGGUUGUUAAGUCAGUUGGGAAAGUUUGCGGCUCAACCGUACAAUUGCAUUUGAUACUGGCAGUCUUGAGUACAGUUGAGGUAGGCGGAAUUCGUGGUGUAGCGGUGAAAUGCUUAGAUAUCACGAAGAACUCCGAUUGCGAAGGCAGCUUGCUAAGCUGCCACUGACAUUGAUGCUCGAAGGUGUGGGUAUCAAACAGGAUUAGAUACCCGAGUAGUC